rnacentral:tRNA from 1 species
GAAAUAUUAAUCAUUAUGAACUUCUAAUUCAUUAAUAAAAUAAUUAAAUUAUUUAUAUUUCU